rnacentral:lncRNA from 1 species
CUAUCUAUGACUUCACAUCUCUGCCCUCACUUGGGGCCUGUUGCCUUUGGCCCUUGGUCUAAGCCCUGCCCAUAUAUGUCCUCUGGCUCAAGCUCUGAUGAUCACAUGAGACACUUUUCCUUAGACCCAAAAACAGGAUUGUUGGUCAGCUAGCAGAAUGGGCUGGUGGCCCCCUGGCAAGGAUGCCGGCUGUGACUCAAAGGCACCAGGAUUGGGCAAGGGAAAACCCCUUUAGGGAAACCAAUGAAGGUCCUUGGGGGAAAAGAACGGAGACUUGUGGUGGGGAAUUGGCGACUCUGGACAAAAAUAGACCUGGAAGAAAAGCAAAGGCGUCACUACCAGGAACCAGGUCUGCUGGGAAGUGCUGGGGGAAGGCCAACCAGGAGCGCCUGGUCAGGAAGCCAAGGGCACUGCAGCCUCUGUGCUCUGAAGCCAUUGUAGGCUGGGUAAGAAGGUGUGUGAUUACUGGGACUCUGUGUUCUAUACCCUUUCCCCAAAGAGAACAAGGUAUCUGACAGUCCUACGUGAUCUUCUGAGGAUGGCAGAUCAGAGUAUUGGAAUUUGAGGUCUACCCAGAUAAUCUGGAAGGUGUGGGUAUCCUGUUGGAGAGGAGGUGGUGCUUCUCCCCCACCCCAUGUGAAGGGAUGUCAUUAUAUAUUUUUGUUGUCUCUUUGCUUCUUCUUUUCUCUUAUUUAUUAAUUGCUUGAAAACAUGGGCAGGCAGGAGGAUAUUAGUUUCUCCAUUGAUCUUUGUACUUUAUUUUCCACAUACACCUUAAGAGAAUAAGG